rnacentral:sRNA from 1 species
GUGCUAUUUGGAGGUGUUUACAAAAUGCUGAAGCAGGAGAUCAGCCCUGACCAUGCAUUAGUGACCUGGGUAUUCACUGUGACACAGAAAAGGGACAGGCAUCCUCAGACUGGAAAGAAGGCUGUGUCUGCCUGCUGAUUCCAUGUGAAGAUAAAAAGAGCUGGAGAGGACUCCCUCAGGUCGAACUUCUGUCUUCCUGUGCUUUCGGAACCCUGUAUGCCGUGUCACCUUCGAAGCAUUUGCUCAAUGGUCCCUAAGCAGUUGUUUGUGGUGUGAACUUCCUGCCAGAUUAUAACAUUUCUAGGGCCCUUGGUCUCUUUUUCACCACAGUGACUACAGGGCAGCGUUCCUUGUAUACUUAGAAAAUGCCUAUGUACUCACCAAAUGGGUUUGGCUGAAAUGGAUUAUUCUCUGUACGCUGGAAAAGGCUUGGGAGGCCAUGGAGUCUCUUAUAGACAGCUGUUUGCACUGCCAUGUUAACCAGGAAGACAAGGGAUGAGUGGGAGCCCAGGCAGAUGAGCCUACCAGUUUUAAAAUCUGCCUAUCUGAUGUCUAAGAGCAACUCAUGCUACUUAAGCUAAAACUACUUUUUAAAAUAAAUGAAUAAUAAAAGCAAGCUUCGUUAAAAAAUAAUCUUGUUUUUUUUAUAAGACUGGUUUUGUAAAAAAAGUAGGAAUUGAAAGACCCGUGAUUAUUGCUAACUGUGUCAUUAAAUGAAACUGAUGUGGAGGUCACUGUAGAGAGGGCCACAACUUAAGUUUUUCAAUAUUUCAUGCAAAAAAGCUUAUAGAACCCAAAGUUGGCGAUGAAACCUGUAGGUGAGACUUUUUCUUUUCUUUUUUUCUACCAAAACUUCACCCUUAAAUAACCUCUCAGGAACUGGGGGGUUAGCUCAGGGAAAAUUAGCCUAAACUGUGCAAAGCCCUGGAUCAUGUGAUCCCUAACACUGUAUGAAAUUUUAAAAAGAAAAAGAAAUAAAGAAAAACAAAGAAAAACCUGUUCACAUUUAUAUAGCAAUCUAUUCAAUAUUCCUUUCUACACAAGUCAAAAAUAAUACAGCUUUGCAGAACAUGUAAGUGUUUUCCAAUUCAGAGGGAAAAGUCUGUUUCUUAAAGUGAUUUAAAAUGUCACAGUUUACUGGGCAGCUAAAGCAUUGAACGGCAUCUUUGACUAAGGCUGGCGGUAUUACAUUCUGUCAGAUGCAAACCAAAGAUUUUAGUGCAAAGUACAAAUAUACAGCAGACAUUUGUUUAAGCAAACAAGCAAUUUGCUCAUGGAUUUAUCUGAUCCUCAUUUGAAAGAGGUGCAGGCCCUACUCAGCCAUUCACGUUUGAGAACUAUCAACUGUCCCUUUGUCCAUUAAAAUGACCUUAUUGUCAGCUGAGACCCAGAACGCCAAUCUCCUUUCGGGGAAGAAACAAUGCCAGCAUUAGCUAUGGAGAUGUGCUGACAGCCAAGCCUGGAGGAAGGCCUGACAGGAGAAAGAUAAUGGACAGAUAAUGGUGUUCUGUUGCCUGCUUUCCUCUAGGAAAGGGCUUGGUUGGGUGCAAGAUGGCUGGGGGAGGUGGCCAUAGUCUUGUCCUAUGACCCAUACCCAUGACAUCUGACAUUUAUUUUAGAGGAUAAAGAUAUAGAUGGCAUCUUUAAGCAAAGAUAUUAGGCUUUGUAUGUCUUUCUCUUGACCUGCAAGGGUUUGAUUUCUUUUGCUGUACCAAAUCCAAGUUUGGUUAUUUUUAUUUUUAAGUCACUCUCACUGGUCUUGUAGUAUUCAGCUUCAAAAAGCAUGUUUAAGCUAAAAUAGACUGCUAGGCUAAUUAUAUGCCUUUUAGUCUCAGCUUGUCGGGGAAGAAUGUAUAUUAUUAUAAUAUAGUAUGCCAGUGUGCACACAUACACUCAGGCACAUGUGCAUGGACACACACUCUUAUGUUUGUAUCAUUAAGUUCUUUGGAAAAGAGUAUUUAAACCAGUUGCCCAACACUUUGGCCUUGAGGCUUGGUGUUUCAAAAGUCCAUGCUCUGAGUCGUGCAGUGGAACUAAAAACAAAGCAAAACCUCAGAAUUUAAGUAAGUUUGCAAUUUUGUCUUAGGCCACAUUGAUAUCUAGCCUGACUUCAUGUGUCCCAGGCCAUUAAUUUUCAAAAGACACAAUGCUAAUGACUUCACAACCUUUACCACACUGUGCUGACUUCGUAUCGCUCAAGUGGCUGGACUUGUUUCCCUGGGUGGGAAGGAGCUGAACCAGAAGCAUGGACAAAGUGUCUAUUUAAGAUUUCCCAGCAUCAUCAGGCUGGGUUGGCUGCCUGGCUGUCACAGUCUCUGAAAUUGACUUCUACCAACCAGGAAAGGAGAGCUGUUUUGAGAGAAUAAUCCAAAGGUUUGGAAGGAAAGUGGUGUAUGUCGUCAUAGGAGAUGGAGUGGAAGAGGAGCAAGGAGCGAAAAAGCAUGCAAUGCCCUUCUGGAGGGUCUCCAGUCACUCAGACCUCAUGGCCCUGCAUCACGCC